UGAAAGCAAAGUUUCAUUGUACUUUUGCAAUGACAACAAAGACCUAUCCUAUCCUAUCCUAUCCUCCUACAGAACACUCCAGACUGUGCUGUAAACAUUUGAUUUCUGACAUGGCAGGCAAAAUCAGACACUAAUUUAAAAAGCAAUCUCGCAAGGAGGAAAGUCAAGAGUCCAGAGCGCUUAAAGGCAGGCUACUUCGAAAUCCUCUGAGUGCCUCAAGUAAAAAUGGCCCCACCACACAAGCUAUCUAUUCUCUUAUGCAAGCACUUAUGCUGCUGGUGUCAAACUCAAGGCCCGGGGCCCGAUCUGGCCUGCAACAUCAUUUUAUCUGGCCCGCAUACACC